GUACGCCACUAUGCUGCCUAACUUUAUCAACCACCUCUUGAGCUGCAGCUCUGCGCAAAUUGCUAAUCGACUUACAUGCCACAAGAAGUGGAUACAUAAGAGCCUGUGGAUGACUCUGUCCAAUUCGAACUAACAAGGACUGUAUCAGUUCUCUGACAGCAUGGUUAUUUGAAUGUAUCCGUGCGAUAAUCUGAGGUAAAACAACCAACCAUGUGUUGAUGUUAACAUGUGUGAAUCCUUUCUGUAAUGCCAUUUGGACCUCAGAAGUAGCUCCAUGGUUGAACCACAAAGUAAGAAGACGAAGAAUAUCCUGUAAACUAUCAUCAACACCCUUAGCAUGUGCUCCGCAAGCUAUAGAGUGAAAAUAACCAGUUACGGCAGCAACAACAAACUGUGCAGCAAUAUUUGCAAAACCUCUUAGAGUGUAAUGAGACAUCACUGCUGUAUUGAAAAGUGCCCAAGUAUGCCAUGCUUUUCCCCACUUCGUUGCACAGUGAGUAGCAUUUCUAAAUGC
rnacentral:misc_RNA from 1 species